rnacentral:rRNA from 1 species
UACGUAGGGUGCGAGCGUUGUCCGGAAUUAUUGGGCGUAAAGGGCUCGUAGGCGGUUUGUCACGUCGGGAGUGAAAACUCGGGGCUCAACCCCGAGCCUGCUUCCGAUACGGGCAGACUAGAGGUAUGCAGGGGAGAACGGAAUUCCUGGUGUAGCGGUGAAAUGCGCAGAUAUCGGAGGAACACCGGUGGCGAAGGCGGUUCUCUGGGCAUUACCUGACGCUGAGGAGCGAAAGUGUGGGGAGCGAACAGG